GGCGAACGGGUGAGUAACACGUGGGCAACUGCCCUCAGCUCUGGGAUAACUCCAAGAAAUUGGUGCUAAUACCGGAUGUGACCGCUGACCGCAUGGUCUGGUGGUGGAAAGAUUCAUCGGCUGGGGAUGGGCCCGCGGCCUAUCAGCUUGUUGGUCGGGGUCACGGCCCACCAGGGCGACGACGGGUAGCCGGCCUGAGAGGGUGACCGGCCACACUGGGACUGAGACACGGCCAGACUCCUACGGGAGGCAGCAGUGGGGAAUAUUGCGCAAUGGGGCGAAAGCCUGACGCAGCGAACGCCGCGUGAGAGGGAUGACGGCCUUCGGGUUGUAAACCUCUUACAAGUCAGGGGACGAAGCGACACAAGUGACGGUAACCUACAGGAAGAAGCACCGGACAAAUACGUGGCCAGCCGCCGC
rnacentral:rRNA from 1 species